GUGGUUUUUCCGUAAGUCGCCAUGGAUCUUGAUGGGGAACGCGGGGGAGGAGCAGGGAAGAGCUCCUGUAAGCUGGGCAAGAAAAGGGUCUCCGUUGACUUACCCGCGGGAUGGGACACCAUGCUCUGAAGAAGUCCACUGGAAAUGGAGUCUGGUAGUGGGGAGAGGACAUCACAGAUGCAAAUAGAGGAGGGCAACCUGAAGGAGAAGCAUACCAGUUUCACUAUUCAAAUUGGCUGGACAGGAUAUACAUGGUGCUGGGAACUCUGGCUGGUGUUAUCCAUGGAGCUAUGCUCCCUCUCAUGUUGCUGGUGUUUGGAGACAUGAUGGACAGCUUUGCAAGUGUGGGAAAAUAUAGUCAAAGUACCAUGUCUGGAACUCAGGUCCUUGUGCUUGUGAGGCAGGUGGCGGAACCACUGAGCUAAAUCCCCAGCCCUAUAUGCUUGUUUUUAAUGGAGGUGAAGAAGCCAUGAAUGAUACAUGAUUAUUUUGCAGUGUUCUAGGUGAAGACAACAUCACAGUGAGCUUCUGCCAUCUGGAGGAAGACAUGACAGUGAUGUGGGCUGGUUCAGUGACCCUAAAAACACCACCGGAGCAUUGACUACCAGGCUCGCCAGUGACGCUGCUCAAGUGAAAGGGGCUAUAGGUUCCAGGCUUGCUGUAGUUGCCCAGAAUGUAGCAAAUCUCGGGACAGGAAUUAUUAUUUCCUUCAUCUAUGGCUGGCAGUUGACACUUUUACUCUUGGCCAUUGUGCCCAUCAUUGCCACAGCUGGAGUUGUUGAGAUGAAAAUGUUGCCCGGGAAUGCGCUCAGAGAUAAGGAAGAGCUGGAAGUUUCUGGAAAGGUGACCUCGGAGAGGGCGUCUUGCACAACAGGAUGUCGUGUUCAUGCUGCUGCCUGUCUCAUCUCAGGUCUUCUUGAAAUUCCUGGCAUUCGCAGGCUCCUUCUGAUCUGCAGUGGCAGGCCUCUGUACAUUACUCAAAUGUCAGAACUAUUGCAUUUUCAGAGGGAGGCCUUUCCUGACACUGGAAGUAAUUUAAAAAUAGACAAUGGGAAACAGGGAGGUGGACCUUUUGGAGAUGGGAAGGGGAGACAGGACAGGAGGAGAGGGGAGGGAGAGGAGGAGAAGGAAACACAAGGGGUUAAGAGUUGAUGCAUGAAUGUACUAACUCCCCACAAGGUGUACAUUCAAUGGGUAUUGCAAACAGAAU